rnacentral:rRNA from 1 species
GAUGAACGCUGGCGGCGUGCUUAACACAUGCAAGUCUAACGAUGAAGCCCAGCUUGCUGGGUGGAUUAGUGGCGAACGGGUGAGUAACACGUGAGUAACCUGCCCUUAACUCUGGGAUAAGCCUGGGAAACUGGGUCUAAUACCGGAUAGGAGCGCCUACCGCAUGGUGGGUGUUGGAAAGAUUUAUCGGUUUUGGAUGGACUCGCGGCCUAUCAGCUUGUUGGUGAGGUAAUGGCUCACCAAGGCGACGACGGGUAGCCGGCCUGAGAGGGUGACCGGCCACACUGGGACUGAGACACGGCCCAGACUCCUACGGGAGGCAGCAGUGGGGAAUAUUGCACAAUGGGCGAAAGCCUGAUGCAGCGACGCCGCGUGAGGGAUGACGGCCUUCGGGUUGUAAACCUCUUUCAGUAGGGAAGAAGCGAAAGUGACGGUACCUGCAGAAGAAGCACCGGCUAACUACGU